ensembl:misc_RNA Y_RNA Y RNA
GGCUGGUCUGAUGAUAGUGGCUUAACAGAACUUUUAAUAUUAGUGUCACUAAAAUUUGUAUACAAGCCUCCUCUGCUAAAUUUGACUAGCAUGUU